rnacentral:rRNA from 1 species
AGGACGGAGAGUUUGAUCCUGGCUCAGGACGAACGCUGGCGGCGUGCCUAAGGCAUGCAAGUCGAGCGCCUUCAUGGUCCGAGAGGGCUGUGGGGGAGCGGCGGACGGGUGAGGAACACGUGGGUGAUCUGCCCUUCGGACCGGGAUACCCUUCCGAAAGGGAGGUCAAUACCGGGUACGCCCGCGUCUCUGAGGGGGCGUGGGGAGAGGGGAGACCCGCCGGAGGAUGAGCCCGCGGCCCAUUAGCUUGUUGGCGGGGUAACGGCCCACCAAGGCGACGAUGGGUAGCCGGCCUGAGAGGGCGACCGGCCACACUGGGACUGAGAGACGGCCCAGACUCCUACGGGAGGCAGCAGCCGGGAAUCUUCCACAAUGGGCGAAAGCCUGAUGGAGCAACGCCGCGUGUGCGAGGAAGGCCUUCGGGUUGUAAAGCACUGUCCUUGGGGACGAAGGAAGGGACGGUACCCAGGGAGGAAGCCCCGGCUAACUACGUGCCAGCAGCCGCGGUAAUACGUAGGGGGCGAGCGUUGUCCGGAAUGACUGGGCG